GGCUCAGGAUGAACGCGGGCGGCGUGCCUAAUACAUGCAAGUCGGACGGACGAUCGCAAGGUCGUUAGUGGCGAACGGGUGAGUAACGCGUUGGUGACCUGCCCUAUAGUGGGGGAUACCAGACCGAAAGGUCUGCUAAUACCGCAUGAGCUCGGGAGAGACCAGAAAUUUCCGAGGAAAGCCGAAAGGCGCUAAAGGAGGGGCCUGCGUCCCAUCAGCUAGUUGGUAAGGUAACGGCUUACCAAGGCGAUGACGGGUAGGGGACCUGAGAGGGUGACCCCCCACAAUGGAACUGAAACACGGUCCAUACACCUACGGGUGGCAGCAGUAGGGGAUAUUGGUGAAUGGGCGCAAGCCUGAACCAGCAACGCCGCGUGUGCGAUGAAGGCCUUCGGGUUGUAAAGCACUUUUUGCCGGGAAGAGGAAGGACGGUACCGGUAGAAUAAGCCUCGGCUAACUACGUGCCAGCAGCCGCGGUAAAACGUAGGAGGCGAGCGUUAUCCGGAUUUACUGGGUGUAAAGCGCGUGCAGGCGGUUGGAUAAGUUGGGUGUGAAAGCUCCUGGCUCAACUGGGAGAGGUCGCUCAAGACUGUCCGACUGGAGCGUGGUAGGGGAAGGCGGAAUUCCGGGUGUAGUGGUGAAAUGCGUAGAUAUCCGGAGGAACACCAGUGGCGAAAGCGGCCUUCUGGACCACGACUGACGCUCAGACGCGAAAGCUAGGGGAGCAAACGGGAUUAGAGACCCCGGUAGUCCUAGCCGUAAACGAUGUGAACUUGGCGGUGGGCGGGUAAAACUGUUCACUGCCGUAGCUAACGCGAUAAGUUCACCACCUGGGGACUACGGC
rnacentral:rRNA from 1 species